rnacentral:lncRNA from 1 species
UAUACAUUUGUAGACUAGCAGACUUAACUACUUUAUGUAAUGUGAAAUUUAAGAUUUACUACUAUAUUUUAAAUAUUUUUCAAAAUAUUAUUUUCUAUAUCCUUACAUAAAAAAUACAUUGAGUGUAUGAAAUAA